rnacentral:rRNA from 1 species
GACGAACGCUGGCGGCGUGCUUAACACAUGCAAGUCGAACGGAAAGGCCCCUUUGGGGGUACUCGAGUGGCGAACGGGUGAGUAACACGUGAGUAACCUGCCCUUGACUUCGGGAUAACUUCAGGAAACUGGGGCUAAUACCGGAUAGGAAUCCUUGCUGCAUGGUGGGGGUUGGAAAGCUUCGGCGGUUUUGGAUGGACUCGCGGCUUAUCAGCUUGUUGGUGGGGUAGUGGCUUACCAAGGCUUUGACGGGUAGCCGGCCUGAGAGAGCGACCGGCCACAUUGGGACUGAGAUACGGCACAGACUCCUACGGGAGGCAGCAGUGGGGAAUAUUGCACAAUGGGCGGAAGCCUUAUGCAGCAACGCCGCGUGCGGGAUGACGGCCUUCGGGUUGUAAACCGCUUUCAGCAGGGGCGAAGCUUGUGGUGACGGUACCUGCAGAAGAAGCACCGGCUAACUACGUG